AUUGAACGCUGGCGGCAGGCCUAACACAUGCAAGUCGAGCGGAUGAAGCGAGCUUGCUCCUGGAUUCAGCGGCGGACGGGUGAGUAAUGCCUAUGAAUCUGCCUGGUAGUGGGGGAUAACGUCCGGAAACGGGCGCUAAUACUGCAUACGUCCUGUGGGAGCAAGUGGGGGAUCUUCGGACCUCAUGCUAUCAGAUGAGGCUAGGUCGGAUUCGCUAGUUGGUGGGGUAAAGGCCUACCAAGGCGACGAUCCGUAACUGGUCUGAAAGGAAGGUCAGUCACCCGGGCAGAGAGACUGAGCAGAGACACCGGCAGUGGGAAACAGCGGAGAAUAUUGGACGAGGGGGGAGUGGCUGAUACAGCCAUGUCGGGUGUGGGAAGAAGGAGCUAGGAUUGGUAAGCAAUGAAGGUUGGAGGGAAGGGAAGUAAGUUAAUACCGGGCGAUAUUGACGUUACCAGCAGAAUAAGCUCCGGCUAACUUCGUG
rnacentral:rRNA from 1 species